CAGGAGCCUCUCAGCCGAUUGGGGAAUUAAUGGGCUAUCCCAGGGUCUCAGACAAGCUCUGCACAGGCCUGCUGGCAUCUGUCUAAUAAUGAAGGCAACACACACCUGCAUGCAUGCACACCUGUUUACUUUGCACAGCAACAGUUAUAAAAACAUGAGGUUGGAGCUUGAGAGUGAUGCAUUCCUGCCAGAUUCAUAACCUUUGCAGAGCAGUCCAAUUCUUCGCUGAGUGGGGAUGAAGUCACUACUAAAUUCUGCUGUGAAAGCAGAACAAAAUUCUGUGCCCCUAUGGAGGAUUUAGUGAUGUGCUAGUUUGUAAUUGGCAUUAGUGAUGUGCUAGUAGUACUCUGCCAGUGCAAGGGGUCAAAAAUGGGUAGAGUUGUGCUUGGUCAGAAUCCUAUGCUUGCUUAGAGCAGUGUUUCCCAAACUACAACUCCCAUCAUCCCUAGAUAGCAGGACCACUGGUCAGGGAUGAUGGGAAUUGUAGUCCAAAAACAGCUGGAGGCCCAAGUUUGGGAAACACUGGUUUAGAGUUUGGUCUGGCUCCUCAUGGAGCAUAUACUCACGCCUUCAAAGGAGGUGUCAAAAGUGAAUGAUCAGGAAGAGAGCAUUGUACAUAUAAAUAUGUGCUGCACACUGCCCUUGUGUCAUGAGAGCUUAGUGCAAACCGGCGAGAACUUUGGUGUAAGCAAGGGCUUUGCACAAGCAAACAGUCAAUGUUAGCUAUGAAAGAAGAAGGAUGGAUAAUUAACUUUCACCUGGUCUGAGAACCUUUACAGGUACUUUGCUGCAGGACUGGAGACACAAACCCUCAACAAGAAGCCCAGCUUUGAUCCCACAACUAGGCUACAAGAACAAGCUGUGCCACACAGGUAAGAGCAAGGGCACACAGCAUGGAAUUGGACAAACUGCAGUCAGCAUUCAGUGCAGUUUUUCCCAGUGGAGAGAUGAAGGUUACUGCUAUGACUACACAGUCUCCCCCAACAGGUGGAUCUCCAAAUGUAGACCUCAGGAGAACUGCCAGUGGGCAACCACUGAAACUGUGCAGAGGAAAGGAUGCUUCUCACACCCAGUGCCAUGUAGAACGGAAGUGAGGCCUCCAACAGCAGCAGCAGCAGCAGCAGCAGCAGCAGAUCAACGUGACCAGUGAGGAGAAUAAACACAGCUGUUUCUUUUGUGAUUUAUUUGGUCCUAGCAGGGUUUCUGCACCUAUCCAGAGUUUUUAAAAUUAAUUCAUUAAUUAAUUUACACCACCCUUUUCUCCAAAGAGGAAGGGGGGGGAAGAGAAAAUUUCAAACGUACACGAAAUGAGGUUUGUUUGGUUCAAUAUGUUUUGAAGUACAUUUCCUUUUCAGGGCACGUCCAGCAUACAGAUGUUCUUCAGUGUCCUUAUCUGGCUAUAGAGCACACUGAAGAGCACUGGCGUUUUUAAGAUGCCCCUGAAGAAGAGUACUUCUUCCAGACAUGUUGGGAGUCAAAUCAAUAUUGUUUCAGGCACCUUCAAGGUUUUAUCUCCUGCUCCCCACCAACACAUUUUUCAUUGGAAAGUUCUGUGUCUUUCUUUUGUCUCAUCUCUCUGCAUUUGGGCACCUCUUAAGAUGUAGUAACCAAAUUUCACA
rnacentral:lncRNA from 1 species